CCGCCGGCGACCGGCGCACGGGUGAGUAACACGUAUGCAACCUGGCCGUGACAGAUGGAUAACCGGGAGAAAUCCCGCCUAAUACAACAUAAUGCCGGGAGGGGACAUCCCCUGCCGGUCAAAGGGGGCGACCCCGGUCACGGAUGGGCAUGCGGCGCAUUAGGUAGUUGGUGGGGCAACGGCCCACCAAGCCGACGAUGCGUAGGGGUUCUGAGAGGAAGGUCCCCCACCAUUGGAACUGAGACACGGUCCAAACUCCUACGGAAGGCAGCAG
rnacentral:rRNA from 1 species